rnacentral:rRNA from 1 species
UUCCACAAUGGACGAAAGUCUGAUGGAGCAACGCCGCGUGAGUGAAGAAGGGUUUCGGCUCGUAAAACUCUGUUGUUAAAGAAGAACAUAUCUGAGAGUAACUGUUCAGGUAUUGACGGUAUUUAACCAGAAAGCCACGGCUAACUACGUGCCAGCAGCCGCGGUAAUACGUAGGUGGCAAGCGUUGUCCGGAUUUAUUGGGCGUAAAGCGAGCGCAGGCGGUUUUUUAAGUCUGAUGUGAAAGCCUUCGGCUCAACCGAAGAAGUGCAU